UCGAUCCCCUCGAGUAAGCUGCGUCGCCGUGGUCUCUCGAUUCCCUCGAGAUCGUUGCGCCGCCAUCCCCUCGAGAUCCCCAGAUCUCACACCGCCACCGCCGGUGCCUCCUCCUCUGGCGACGCAGCGAACGAGAGCAGGGCCGCAGUACACGGGUGGCUGCCUCGUGCCCCCGAUGUCCAGGAGUACGUCUAAGAUCGUCAUGUGUUCUUCCCCAUCAAGUUCGCCUGUUGACUGGUUCGCGAAGGUUUCGGCAGAUCCGUUUUCGCCCUGGAUGUGAGUCGCAUACCGGCGACUUUGGCGGUCCGACCUCGUGCGCGUCGUCCUCACCAUCAACCCCAAGUCCCUCCUCCAGUGGACCAUUGAACUCCACAACCAAUUUCUUCGACGCUGUCAUGCAGGUUCGAGUCCAAACAGUGAGGAGAUUGAUUCAUGCGUGCUUGUUUCAGUCCAGAUCUCUAAAUAAAUGUUCCGAACGAGGAAGGUAUGGGAGAUUGGCAGUGUCAAGCAUAUGUUUCCUUACGUCUCCUUCUGUACUCCAGCUGGUACAACUUCCUGUACUUUCUCAUAUUUUUUUGGUUAAUUGUGAUAUGUAUUUAUUUCAGCUCACACCUCGGUUCCAGUAAGACUUCUGUUCUCUUAUUGCAUAUUAGGGUUGUAGUUUUUGAUACUACUCCUACAGGGAAUACUUUAGGGUUGCUGCAGUUCCGAUCAACACUUGAGAAGAAAAAUGAUGCGAGUAAAGAAUAGCUUCAGUGGUCUAUUUAAUCAGGUGUUCCUUAAUCUUGAUAAAUUCCAAUCUAUUGGGAAGCUACGAUUGUUUUCAUGUGUAUGCCCACCGCCGUGUUGCUUUUAUUCUGAUUUAACUCUGAAGAACUAACAUAUUAUGCAUCUGUUCAUUCCAACAUGACAAUACACUGUAUAAUUUACGGAAGAAGAUGGGCAUGAUAGUCUGUUCUUGGUUCCUUAGAACAUGGCCUACCAAUAUGUUGAGGAAUUAACUGCAUCCUGAAUAAAAGAUGAUUCCUUAAUUGUUUGAUUUGUUGAGUCUUACAUAUAAAUAGAUACUGUGAUCCAUGGAAUUCUUCCAUUGUUUGUAUUGAAGUUAAAUGACAAUAUGCUCUUCAUAUAUACUUUCAAUAUAGUAGAAUAUUCAUUUGGGAUAAACUGACUUGUUCUAUUUGAAAGUGCUGCACCGGCACUAAUAAACAAAUCCAAUCUCAUGUCAUCUAUUUAUUCUGACAAUGGUGCCAUGUAGACUAGGAAUUAGAAAAAAAAACAAGUACUAGGAUACAUUGCAAACUAUGGAACGAAAGAAACCUACCUGAAAAGGCCUCAGCAGUUCUACUUAUGAGCCGGAUAAUGCAGCAUUAUAGGAUGAUCCAUUCAUAUGCAUACAAAGGCUUCAAUUUUGAUUUACAUUCAAUUUCGUCCGAAUAUUGAUUUUUCUUUAGUUUAGAUCAGCUAUGAUUUAGGUACUACAGUUGUAUAGGAUGAUCCACUGCCAUUCAUACAGAGGUUCCAGUCUUGAUUAUGUUUCGGUUGAAUUCAGUUUUUCGAGUCAGCCCAUCUCAGCUCUAUGUGUGACAUUCAUAAGAUGACCCCAUAAAAUUAGCAAAAGACGGUACUUUUUUCCCAUCUCAGCCCCAACUGUUGCUUUCUUUGAGGUUUGGUCGUCUAAGUAGCUUUGCAGUGUUUUGGCCGGUGCAGGCUGGAGGACCCUGACUUGGAGGAGACGACAGAGUUCAUGGCGAGCAAGGCGGACUUGGCCGAGUCCAUGCUUUCCUGGUUAGGGAGAGCCUCCAACACAAGGUCAUGUGUUGCUUCUCUCCUCUAUUUGGAUUUUAUUAAUUGGUGUCUUUUUUACUGAUUCCUUCGCUAUUGCUGUGCGCUCCUAGGUUUAGUCCAUGUCUCUCUAGAUUACUUCUAUUUCGUACGGAUGGUCUUGAGUUUGCACAAUUCCAGGAUGUCAGCUCGCCGCACAUGUGAUACUUAUUGUUAAUAGUUAUAGAAUUCCCUGGGUGUUCUUUGUUAUUUUUGUGCACAGAAGUUGUUUGUGUCUUCGUCCGAGCCAAUUUCAGUUACAAAUCCCCGAGUUAAGCUACAUGUGGCUAACAACAUUGCAUAUGAAGCUCUCGUCUUUGACUAUAAGUUUGACAUGUGGUAAGAGUUUUUCGGUGGUUGAUAUCCUGCACCUUAGACAUGUUUAUAGACUUAUAGAUAGAAUAUUCUUUCUUAUUUAUAGUGGAUCUGUUGUUGGUGCCUUACUACAAAGUACUGGUGUUUUGUGGCCACUACUAAUGAUAAUAGUAUUCUUUAUGCUAAGGUGCAGAUAAAAUAUUGAAGGGUGGAAGUCUGUUAAUCAUUCGAUUAGCCAAUUUUUGUUAUUUAGCAACCAGUUCGACUCAUACAAUUAAAGUCUGAUUGUUGUAGUAAAUAAUGUUGCUAAGAACUUCAAGGUACCGCGUUUUUCCAAUUGUUGCCACUUGGCAAAAAAUUAUUGUUUUUAGAAGUAACAAGUAGUUUAAAAAUUGUGGUAGCCCGUAGCAACGCACGGGCGUUCUCCUCUUGAUUCUCCGUUGUGCGACGUCGCAACUUCUUCUCCAACUCUGCGGGUGUAGGUUGAUCGAGGGUCGAAUAAUGGACGUAACACAGCUGCUAGAGAAGAGAUUAUAAUAUGGAAAACAGCAGAUGAGGAGGAAGCUGAAGUUGGUACAUCAAGUGAGCAAGAGUUCCAGACCCAGGUUACACCAAGAACAAGUGCCUCAGAUCAUUCAUUUUUCAGGCAGCGGAAGGAUCACUCCCACUCCCCUCGCGUCGCCCACCUGAGGGCGACUCGAGGGUACCCUCGCCCCAUCCGCCGUGACCACCCCUCUAAGGAUCUCACCGCCUCGACCAAAAUGUGAUUUGAGGCAAAGUCUGCGUUUGAGGCAAGGACAAUAAAAAUGAUGGAGCUUUUGGUCUUCAGCACCUUGAAAUGGAGGAUGCAAGCUGUUACUGCUUGCUCAUUUAUUGACUACUUCCUUUGCAAAUUCAAUGAUCAUGACACACCCUCCAUGCUCGCAUUCUCCUGCUCAACUGACCUCAUCCUGAGCACAGCUAAGUGAGCUGAUUUUUUGGUGUUCAGACAUUCAGAGAUUGCUGGAAGUGUUGCACUUCCUUCAUUUGGGGAGCACAAGACUUCAGUUGUCGAAAUGGCUACAACUAAUUGCAAGUAUAUAAACAAGGUAGUGAUCAGCUCUGUGUUCUCGUUAACUAAAUCAUUUGCCCGCAUCACAUGGUUACCUUUAAAUGCAAUGGUGCCUCUGUGUACAAGAAGAACGAGUUAUUUGAUUAAAUUGUAGGGAGGCUUCAGAUGUAUCUGAGAAAAAGCAUAGCACCAACUUUUAUAAUGGUCCUAUGCUUCUAUCAGAGCAAUGCCAUUAUCCUGCAUACAUUUUAAAAUGCGUUUGAGUUCUAAUACAUAUUGUACAUGUACCAACA